AUGAGGCACGUUACAAACAGGCACGGAACAGGCAGAACUCAGUCUUCCGGAUGAAGAAGCGCCAGCAGGAAGAACGAGAUCACGAAGCGAUGGAAGAGCUGUACCGCGCUAAGGACACACGAAAGUUCUACGAGAAGCUGAACCGCUCGCGCAGAGGCUUUGUGCCACAAGCUGACAUGUGCCGAGAUAAUCACGGGAAUAUUCUCACGAGCGAGCGUGAGGUGGUCGAGAGGUGGCGGCAGCAUUACGAUGAGCACCUCAAUGGCGACGUUGCAAGUACCGAAGGUGGCGUGGUAACAGAUCUAGGAGUAUGUGCACAGGACGAAAGACUUCCGGCCCCUGACCUUCAAGAGAUUGAUGAGGAGGUUGGCCAGUUGAAAAACAACAAAGCCGCUUGUACUAGGCUGUAAUAUAAGUAGGUUGUAAAAUAUGUCAGAAUAAAGGACUUGAUAGUCGCAACUGGACGUGUUUCAUUGAAUCCCUACAAUUUCAGAAGUGGGAUUACAACCUUCGUUCUUUUCAAGAUGUUCCAAAUUUCGAGUUAUCCGCCAAGAGAACUGUUACUCACACGUGAAGACAAACAAGUACACCAAAACCUCCAUUUAGGUAAUGAGUCGGGACUGCCUAAAUAGAAUUUUUACCUAAAUGGAUUCAUUACCUAAAUGGAUUCAGUCUAUUACCUAAAUGGAGUACAAGGUUGAAAGUAAGUUCAAGAAGGGAGAUUGACUAGGAGAUUUAAAGGGGGCCAUGCGGAGUUUCAGAAGACUUUCAAGGGAGUCUCAGAAAAGGAGGGGCUUUAGGGGCAUUUUCGGGGGUUUUGGAGGGUCUCAGGUCAGACUUGUCAUUCAAAUGACUAGAUGGGCACGAAACACGAAAAACUCUGCAAAAUUCCGCCAGACUGAAAAAUUGUUGAAUGUCGGGUCAAUUUUUAUCGUAUGUUGGGCCACUGUUGGACCAACAUCGAACAACUGUUGGGUCUAUAUUGGGUUUGCCGGCCAAAAUGAAAACAGGUCAAUGAUAGGUUGAUGUCGGGUUUGACGUCAUCAAUGAUGACCAAUGGCAAUCAAAUUCCAUUUAGGUAACGUUACCUAAAUGGAGGGACCUAAAUAGAUUUUACCUAAAUGGAUCCUACCUAAAUGGAGGUUUGAGUGUACACCCGAAAGUAAUCUGUAUGUGGUGCAUUGCUCUCUAACAACACAGCGUUAGAGAGGAGUUACGAAGUCAAAUAGAAGAUACGGACUGUAUAAAAUAAACUAGUUGUUGAAGACAGAAGUUGGAGUUCGAAAAGGACUGCUGAAUAUGGCACAUUACUCUCGAGAUAUAACAUCUACGAUAGGAGUUUUGGAAUAAAAUGUGCUAACUGUAACCUAGCUGCCAUUAUCAACGGAGAAGCUGAGUGUAUUCCCCAGAAGAAAGUUUAUCACAACAUCUGAGAGCAUGUCACCGAGUGUUGGAGUUUGAAGGAACCUGACAUCAGGCGGUUGUUUCACAUCGAGGACGAUGUGUAAAGUCAAGAUGGCCGAACUGUACUAGACUGUAAUAUAAGUAGGUUGUAAGAUAUGUCAGAAUAAAGGACUUGAUAGUCGCAACUGGACGUGUUUCAUUGAAUCCCUACACCGCUGGAGCAGAUCAACUACCAAGCGAGCUUCUAAAAUACGGUGGAGAAGCACUGGUGAGAGCACUACACUGGGUCAUUACCAAGAUUUGGGAGGAGGAAGUAUUACCGGAGGAAUGGAUGGAAGGUAUCGUGUGUCACAUCUACAAAAAGGGCGACAAGUUGGAUUGCGGGAACUACCGCGCGAUCACACUACUGAGCGCUGCCUACAAGAUACUCUUUCAAAUUUUAUGCCGCCGUCUAUCACCGAUUGCAAGAGAGGUCGUGGGGCAAUAUCAGGCUGGAUUUAUGGGUGAACGCGCUACAACGGACCAGAUGUUCGCCAUCCGCCAGGUGUAUCAGGUAUCAGUAGGUCGGCUCAAGAGGCACGUUCUCCUCCAUUUGGGAAAUUUGUGCCAUCGCCAUGAAUACGAGCCUAUUCAUCAUUUACCUGAGGGAGAGCGAAGGGAGGAAUAAGGGAUGGGAUAGGGAAAGGGAAGGUAAGGGAAUAGGGUCGACAUAAUCGCAUAAGCGUACCACAACGGGUUCAAACAGCGCCCUGUAAAGGGCACUGUAAAAAACGCAUAAAGCGUAAAGUAAGCCUAUAGCUACUUGUCACAACGGGCUCAGAACAACAGAACAUCCUGAAGAUUCAGGCUUCUUAGGUCAGUUUCACUUAAUCAAGUGUUUACCGAGUACUCGGAAACGCAGUUGCGUAAAAACUGGGUAGUUACAUAUCAAAUGAUUCAAAGUUCCACAGUCGGAUUCUCAGCUAAGAUAUACAAAUGAAGCAGCCUGUUGAGGCUUGUGAUGGACAAAAUCAUAAGUAGGAAAACCACAUUGAGUUAUCUUAAUUGCGUUUCUGCUACGAGAUUCCUCAAAAGUGAUGGCAAGACUCC